CUAGCAGGGUCACGUGUCGACAACAUGAGAACUGUGGCGGUGUGCCAGUUUGUUUUGAACUAGUGUAUUUGAUUCUAUGCUUUCAGGCACGCUGUCUCGUGGCUGCACUUGAAGGAUGCCUUUGUUACCUCAGAUUCCGAGGGAGAUCAGCCAUCCCGUAAAUGAAAUCUUUAUUAGCCUGUAUCGUUCACCAAUCAUUUAUUGCGUUACAUGCACAUGGAGCACAUGGAAAGGUGGGCAACUAUUUCUCUGAGCAUGUGAUGUCUAGCGGGUCCAGGAUUGUGUCUUUGCUGUGAUACGCAAACCUCCUUCCCAGCCUGAGCAUCACCUGUGCGAUGAGGUAUUUCUCUGCUUGGACACAUGUCAGGUACUGUACACAGAACAUGAGUGGCUGCCAGACACAUGCCUAUGCACUGCAAUUGUGAGUAAACCCUUCAGUUCAUAACCCAUGUAAUCAGUAUGUCAUCUGUUACCAGCAAAUGGAAAUCAACCAAAUUUACUGCAAAAAAACUAUAUUUUGUUGAAAGGGACAACAGAGCACAACUUUAAAGGAGUGGUAAUUGUUUAAGUGAUAACUAUCAACCGAUAAAUGUAGCAUCUAUCUUUGGGAAUGAUUAUAUGUUGAAAAUUAUCUAAUCACUCGCAUUUUACAUCGUAAAGUUGGUAACUGUUGCAUUUAAACAGUGUA